rnacentral:rRNA from 1 species
UGGGGAAUAUUGGGCAAUGGGGGAAACCCUGACCCAGCAACGCCGCGUGAAGGACGAAGGCCUUCGGGUUGUAAACUUCUUUGAUCAGGGACGAAACAAAUGACGGUACCUGAGGAACAAGCCACGGCUAACUACGUGCCAGCGGCCGCGGUAAUACGUAGGUGGCAAGCGUUAUCCGGAUUUACUGGGUGUAAAGGGCGUGUAGGCGGUCUUGCAAGUCGGAAGUGAAACUCCCGGGCUUAACCCGGGCGCUGCUCCCGAAACUGCGAGACUUGAGUACUGGAGAGGAUAGUGGAAUUCCUAGUGUAGCGGUAAAAUGCGUAGAUAUUAGGAGGAACACCAGUGGCGAAGGCGGCUAUCUGGACAGUAACUGACGCUGAGGCGCGAAAGCGUGGGGAACAAACAG